CCUACGGGUGGCAGCAGUGAGGAAUAUUGGUCAAUGGGCGCGAGCCUGAACCAGCCAAGUAGCGUGAAGGAUGACUGCCCUACGGGUUGUAAACUUCUUUUAUAAAGGAGUAAAGUGAGGCAUGUGUGCCUUUUUGUAUGUACUUUAUGAAUAAGGAUCGGCUAACUCCGUGCCAGCAGCCGCGGUAAUACGGAGGAUCCGAGCGUUGUCCGGAUUUAUUGGGGUUAAAGGGAGCGUAGGUGGGUUGUUAAGUCAGUUGUGAAAGUUUGGGGCUCAACCGUAAAAUUGCAAUUGAUACUGGCAGGCUUGAGUACAGUAGAGGUAGGCAGAAUUCGUGGUGUAGCGGUGAAAUGCUUAGAUAUCACGAAGAACUCCGAUUGCGAAGGCAGCUCACUGGACUGCAACUGACACUGAGGCUCGAAAGUGUGGGUAUCAAACAGGAUUAGAUACCCCGGUAGUC
rnacentral:rRNA from 1 species